GGGUUGUGAGGUUAAGCGACUAAGCGUACACGGUGGAUGCCCUGGCAGUCAGAGGCGAUGAAGGGCGUGCUAAUCUGCGAUAAGCGCCGGUAAGGUGAUAUGAACCGUUAUAACCGGCGAUACCCGAAUGGGGAAACCCAGUGUGAUUCGUCACACUAUCAUUAACUGAAUCCAUAGGUUAAUGAGGCGAACCGGGGGAACUGAAACAUCUAAGUACCCCGAGGAAAAGAAAUCAACCGAGAUUCCCCCAGUAGCGGCGAGCGAACGGGGAGGAGCCCAGAGCCUGAAUCAGCAUGUGUGUUAGUGGAAGCGUCUGGAAAGGUGCGCGAUACAGGGUGACAGCCCCGUACACAAAAGCGCAUGUGCUGUGAGCUCGAUGAGUAGGGCGGGACACGUGGUAUCCUGUCUGAAUAUGGGGGGACCAUCCUCCAAGGCUAAAUACUCCUGACUGACCGAUAGUGAACCAGUACCGUGAGGGAAAGGCGAAAAGAACCCCGGCGAGGGGAGUGAAAAAGAACCUGAAACCGUGUACGUACAAGCAGUGGGAGCACAGGUUUACCUGUGUGACUGCG
rnacentral:rRNA from 1 species